rnacentral:rRNA from 1 species
AUGAACGCUGGCGGCGUGCCUAAUACAUGCAAGUCGAGCGAACGGACGAGAAGCUUGCUUCUCUGAUGUUAGCGGCGGACGGGUGAGUAACACGUGGAUAACCUACCUAUAAGACUGGGAUAACUUCGGGAAACCGUAGCUAAUACCGGAUAAUAUUUUGAACCGCAUGGUUCAAAAGUGAAAGACGGUCUUGCUGUCACUUAUAGAUGGAUCCGCGCUGCAUUAGCUAGUUGGUAAGGUAACGGCUUACCAAGGCAACGAUGCAUAGCCGACCUGAGAGGGUGAUCGGCCACACUGGAACUGAGACACGGUCCAGACUCCUACGGGAGGCAGCAGUAGGGAAUCUUCCGCAAUGGGCGAAAGCCUGACGGAGCAACGCCGCGUGAGUGAUGAAGGUCUUCGGAUCGUAAAACUCUGUUAUUAGGGAAGAACAUAUGUGUAAGUAACUGAGCACAUCUUGACGGUACCUAAUCAGAAAGCCACGGCUAACUACGUG